GCAGCAGGCACGCAAAUUACCCACUCCCGGCACGGGGAGGUAGUGACAAAAAAUAACGAUACGGGACUCUAUUGAGGCCCCGUAAUCGGAAUGAGUACACUUUAAAUCCUUUAACAAGGAUCCAUUGGAGGGCAAGUCUGGUGCCAGCAGCCGCGGUAAUUCCAGCUCCAAUAGCGUAUAUUAAAGUUGUUGCGGUUAAAAAGCUCGUAGUUGGUUCUGCGUGCCGCGCUGUCGGUUCGCCGCCUGUCGGUGUUACUGGCAUGUCGCGGCAUGUCCUGUCGGUGGUGAAUAAGAUCCCCGGUGCCUGCGUAGGCUUCUAUAGCUGAAGUAUGGUGCCGUACGGAUGUUAUUUGCCGAUUUCUCCUACUCCGGUGCUCUUAAACGAGUGUCGAGGUAGGCCGACACGUUCACUUUGAACAAAUUAGAGUGCUUAAAGCAGGCUGAAAUAUCUGCCUGAAUAGUGGUGCAUGGAAUAAUAAAAUAGGACCUCGGUUCUAUUUUAUUGGUUUUAGGAAUAUGAGGUAAUGAUCAAUGUGGACUGGCGGGGGCAUUCGUAUUGCGACGUUAGAGGUGAAAUUCUUGGAUCGUCGCAAGACGUACUAAAGCGAAAGCAUUUGCCAAGUAUGUCUUAAUUGAUCAAGAACGAAAGUUAGAGGCUCGAAGGCGAUCAGAUACCGCCCUAGUUCUAACCAUAAACGAUGCCAGCCAGCGAUCCGCCGAUGUUCCAAUAAUGACUCGGCGGGGAGCUUCUACCCGGGAAACCAAAGCUUUUGGGUUCCGGGGGAAGUAUGGUUGCAAAGCUGAAACUUAAAGGAAUUGACGGAAGGGCACCACCAGGAGUGGAGCCUGCGGCUUAAUUUGACUCAACACGGGAAAUCUCACCAGACCAGGACAUUGGAAGGAUUGACAGAUUGAUAGCUCUUUCUUGAUUCAGUGGGUAGUGGUGCAUGGCCGUUC
rnacentral:rRNA from 1 species